UCGGAGCCACAGCCUCAGAGGACUUUUCCGUAAAAUUUCACCGCUUCCCUAAACUGGGAGAGGGAAAAAAUAUUUUAAGGUGGAAUUUCCGGUAGCUCUUCAGACCCAGCCAGUCUACAGGAUGUAUCAGAAGCACUGCUAGUUGCUGGUGCUGAACGUAGAUAAUGGUCUAAUAAGUAGAAGAACGGCCGGUAGAAGUUUAUAGCCGAGUUUAAAAUCGAUAACAGACUCAAUUUUUUAAAGAAUAAAGAGGCAGGCAGAGUACCUUCAGACAGUUGUAAUGAUAUAGAACAAGAAGCGAGGACGAUGACGCAGUGAUAUCAAAUAAUAUGAAAAAGUUUUUUGACGGCGCGUCAUGUGCUCAGAACGUAAAAACGUCUAUGGAUAGAAAAUUAAUGAUGAUGGGCAAACUGUGAAGUACCUUCAGAUAGUAGUAAUGAUAUAGAACAAGAAGCGAGGAGGAUGACGAAGUGAUAUAAAACGAUAU